UUUUUUGUUUUUUUUUUUUUUUUUUUUAGUUUUUUGGGUUUUGGUUUGGUUUUGUUUGUUUUUGUUCCUCCAGACCGUGCUUGCUAGAAUUUUAUGGAACUUUUAAACUGUAAAGGAAAAUAUAGGCUGAUGGGAACGGGACAAGUCCGUAAAACCCAGAAUGAGGUCAAGAGAUGAAAUUUGAGCACGCUUGUUAGAAACAGAGAAAAAUGAAGAGAUGUUAACAGGAGAACCUGUUUACUAAAUCUCAUGGCCAAUUUAGUGAAUCUUUAUCAUUGUUUAUUAUAGUAUAGUCAGUUUUCUGACUUCCAAAUUCUAUCAUGAUUUUUAAAGCUCAUUUAUUUUUAAGUAAUCUCUACACCCAACGUGGGGUUCGAACUCACAAUCCCGAUAUUGAGUCUCCUGCUCUCCCAACUGAGCCAGAUAAGCACCCCACACAGUUGUGAUUUUAUUUUAAUACGUUGGGCUCCUUCCUAACCAGUCCGCAUAAAUGUGAAAGUGCUCUGGGGGGGGCAUGCUGUGGAGAUACACAUUAUAACUAGACAGGUUUUUGUCCAAUAUGUAAUCUAUCCCUCCCUGGUCCUCCCAACCACAUACACACAAAUAGGUGGUAUAUGACCACUCAAAGGUCAUAAUAAUUACAGGAGCAAGAAAGGAACUAAAACGUAUUACAUGUCGAGGAUGUGUCCAAUACUUUACCUAUAUGGUACAUUAUCUUGUGUGAUUUUAGCAAUUUGAUUUAGAUACUAAUAUGCCAGUUUAUGUGUGUCUGUGACAUCGUGUUAUGGCAGCCCUAGCAAACCAAUGCGCUCUCCCAUCAUACUUCCAUUUACUACUUCAUAUGCAGUCUUUAUGAGUGAUCCUGGAAAACAGCACACUAAUUCUUGUUCCUACCUCUUUUUUUGAGGGCAGGGGAGGGACAGAGGGGGAGGGAGAGACAAUCUUAAGCAGGCUCCACACUGGCUCCACCCAGUGGGGCUCCAUCUCACAACCCUGAGAUCAUGACCUGAGCCGAAAUCAAGAGCUGGAUGCUUAACUGAGUGAGCCACCGAGGUGCCCCUCUUGUCCCCAACUUUUAUCCAAGCUAGAAUUACUGCCUGAUUUUCUUCAUCCCUUGCUUAAAAGCAUAGGGUUUUGAAGUCCAACAAACCUGGAUUCAAAUCCCAGCUGCAUUCACUUAACUAACAGCUUUAAUUAACUUCUCUGAGACUGUUUUCUCAUCCAUAAAUGGAAAUAUUAACUAUAUCCAAUCAGUAUGUACGUUAUAAUAUGCGUAGCACAACUCCCAGCACACAGUGUACAGUACACAUUCAACGAUGAUAGUUGCAAUUACUAUCCAUUUUUCAAAGCCCCAUUUAGUACUUGAUUGUUAAGCAUUUUGGCUUCUCUGGACCACCAGCCAAACUUGAAGAGAAUAUAGAAGGAGGGAAUCAUGGAGCCAAGUUUGGACUGGACUACAGUCUUGAUGCCACUGAAAAUGUUGGAGUUCAUGUGAUAAGCCAUGGGGAACCAUUCAGGAUUUCUAAACUGGGAAAAACAUGACCAAAGCCGUGCUUUAGGAAAGACAAAGCAGCAGGUGAGACAGGUGAUCAGGAGAGACAGUCCACAGCGGGGACAGGUACUAAAGGAUGGAAGGAGCGUAGUGCCUAUGGGAAUAGGAAGUGAGGAAUUGUUUAAAAAAACAUUUCAGACAAAUAAUCUAUAGGGCUGGCAACAGACUGAACACAGAAAGAUAGGAGAGAGUCAGGAGUACCCAACACCUUAAGACUGAUACAGUGGUAGCACCAUGAACAAAAAUACGAGCCAGGUGACGGAGAGUUGUGGGAGUUUGAUUUUAACCUCCACACGGCACUUCCCGUGCUGCUCCUACUACCGCAUCUCGCCCCAUAUCUGCAGUCCUAUCAGGGCAGUCUGCAUGCCCUUCCCUUCCAGUAAAACUUCAAGAAGGCAUUUCAAAAUUAAAUCACACUGAGACAUAAACAGUCAUCUGACUAUUUGCAUUUUAAAAGAGACCUCCCCAAACGAACCACCAUGAAAUGUGGAUAACUGACAAACACAAGAGAGGUACGAGAUGCAGAGGGCAUGUCCUUUCAACAUUACUAUCACCAGACAGUUCCCUUCCAACUUGCUACAAACACUUCGGUUGGCUGCAACCUAUCUAGCACCAUCUCUGGAUUUACACAUUAGUGUUGUAUCUAAGACUCCUUUUCUCGUCUUAAUGCCGGAUGAUGUUCAGGACCACAGAUAAACAGAACUGUUUUCAUUGCCUGUUUAAAAGAUAUGAAACAUCAGCACAGAGCAGCAGGCCUGGGAAGGUCCGUGAUGCAUCAGUGUCUGCCCCGUUCAGAUAGUUUCAGUUCAUGUUACUAGAGAUGCUAAGGGGACACUCAGCAGCCUUGCCCAGGGAUCAUUUUCCAUUUCCUCCAACCCUUGACUUCCCUAUUUAAACCCACCUCCUUUACCCUCAACAAAGGUAUGAAAUAGAAACUUCUUACAAUCUUCAAAAUACUUUUUCACAGAUUAAAAAAUGAUUUAAAAUUCACUAUUUUUUUUCAUUCUGGGUUAUUCCGAUUUUUUUUCCACAUUCUGUGUCCAACUAAAACUCAUGGAGUGACCACUGCUUACACUGUGGAGGAGAGAGAAGGAGGCGGAUGAGAGGAAAGUGAAAAUCUGAAGUCACACAAUUUCCUUCCUCAAGGUGUUCUUGGUUUAGUUCAUCUUCAUCCACAUCUGUGGAUCACCUCUGUAGCUCUCAUCCUUGAGCCUCCCACCAGCCUCUUGAAGUUUCUUUUAAAUGUGGGAAUCCAUAGCAAGGGGCACACAUUUUCAAGAGGAUCUGACCCAGAUGGAAUCUAAGUGCCUUCCCUCCAUGAUUCUCAUGGGAGUUAUUCACAGCCACGCAUUUGUUUGUGUGUUCACUGUAGUAUGUGGACAGGUGAGGGUGAGGCUGAUUUGUUUUAAUAGCCGUAGUGCUGAGUCAUUCAGAUUAUUUAUUCUCAAUUUCCUAUCAUUUUCUGUCAUAUAUUCAUCGUACAAACACUUUGUCACUGCACUCCACCAAACACGGCACAAAAUGAGUUAAAAAGCAAGCACCACGGUGCUAUAGAAAACAGUACAGCAGUUCCUCAAAAUAUUAAACAUAGAAUUACCAUAUGAUCUAGCAAUUCCACUUCUAGGCAUCACCCAAAAGAAUUGAAAGCAGGAACUCACAGAUUCUUAUACACCCAUGUUCAUCGCAACAUUAUUCACAAUGACCAAAAGGUAGAAGCAAGCCAACUACCUGGCUAUUGAGGGAUGGGUGGAUAAACAAAAUGGGGAAUGUAUAAUGGGAUAUUAUUCAGCCUUAUAAAAGAAGGAAUUUGCAACACUUGCCGUAACACGGAUGUACCUUGAAGACAUGAUGCUAAGUGAAACAAGCCAGUCACAAAAGGACAAACACCCUACGAUUCCAUGUCCAUGAAGCACCUAGAAUGGUUAACUUCAUAGAGACAGAAAGGAGAAUGGUGGUUGCCAAGGGUUGGAGGAGGGGAAAACGGGGAGAUAUUGUUCAGUAGAUGUGGAUCUUCAGUUUAAGACAACGAAAAAUUUCUGAAGAUGAAUAGUAGUGAUGGUGGCACAACAAUGUGAAUGUACUUAAUGCCCCCUACUAUACACUGACAAAUAGUUAAGAUGGUAAAUUUUAUGUCACAUUUCUCACAAUUUAUUAAAGUAUUAAAAACACUUAAGGAUAUAAUAGAAGAAAAUAUUCCUGAAGUAAAGAAAUAUGGGGGAAAAAUCAGAAAUCAUCCCUCUUCUGGAGGCAGAUACUUUAAACAAUUGUGGCAAGGAUGCAGACACAAAGCAAGACACAAAGAGAGAACAAGCUAGGGAAAAAUCUUUUUGACUUCAACUGAAUAAGUAUAUGUAGUGCAUUUACAGUUGUUUGUUCAACCUUGUUCUCCUUAGCACACCCCCUAAGGAGAUUGUUCAGACAUUUCUUCCCUAGCCGUCCCCUGAUGAAAGUUUAAAACCAGAGAUAUACUCUGUAUCUGUUUACGUGCUAUUAGGGUCCUUUACAAGGGCACAGACUACUGUAAUAUAGAAGAUAUUUCCUUCCCCCAGAACCAAUUUUCCCCACUUGGAGACAAUAGAACCCUCUGGGAGAAGGCAUGGUUUACUGCAUUUGCCACUCUAAAAAAUAAGUGCUAUGACAAAUAGCAAAUUUGACUGAAAUAAUCACAGGACUGGGGAUGCACACAUACUAACCAACGCUAAGAUGCGUCGAAAAGUCUUACGCCAAUAUUAAAAGUUUAUGCACACUACUAAACUUCUGAACGAAAAGCGAGAAAUUCAUUUUUAGUGUCUUCCUACAUCUGGAAGUUGCAAUUAUAUAGGUGCAACAUUUAGGUGGUUGACAACAUUUUGAAAAGCUUAAUACAGAUAUUCGGUAUCAUGUGAAUAAUACAGCAUCACCAGUGCUGUUUAACAUAAUCAAGCAGAAUUUACUUCUCUACGUGGUACAAUGACAUACACAGAUUUUAAAGAAAAGCUCCAUAAUUGUUCUUAUUAACUAGAACUGCGGGAGCCUUAAAAUUCUGCUACUCAAAGUGUGGACGUUGGGCAAGCCUAUGAUCACAUGGGAACUUAUUAAAUAUGCAGAAUGAUAAGCUCCGCCUUAGACCUACUGACACAGAAUCUGUAGUUCAACCAGAUCUCCAGAUAACUCUCAUGCAUAUUAAGGUUUGAGACGAACCGCCUGUAAAAGACAACAAUUGAAAUGCUUUCCUAACUCAUCAGAGCAUUUUGUUUUUUAACCAAGUAGAUUAAUUACUCCACUCAUAGUACCAUAGGGCCUACAGGAAAGGUAAACUAGAAAAUAAGCAUAUGAAAUUGUUAAAAAAUAUAAAUAUAUCGAUAGGCACCCACAGUUCCUCUUCAGAAGCAGUAGCAGUGGGCCCUUCACCAGAGCUUUGACUAGUGAUGCUCUUCCAAGCCUUAGCUUUCUAGCACAGAAGGAAACAUCCUUCGAGGAGCAAGGGUGACGAAGGGUGGGAUUCCCCUUUCUUUGUAACCCCAAGUGUGGUGUCCAAAAAUGGCUUCUCCCAUCCACUAGCCCAACCAUCCUCACCGUUCCACCAGAUGGCUUCACUCUUGGAGGUAUGAAAGAUUUUCCUAUGGUCUUCUUAAAACACCAAGGCUUAUAUGGUUAUCAACUAAAACUUUACCAGUUAAAUCUGAACCGGAAGCAGUGGGACCCAGCGGGGAGCCAGAGAAAGGGAGGGACCCUGGAAAGAGGUUGAUCUCUCCCCUUAGUACUGAGCUAAUAGCCCAGUGGCGCGGAGGCAAGGGUACUUACUAGCUACAGAGAUCAAAUCCAACCUCUGCCACUCACCACCUAGGCGAUCUUGAACCGAUUGCUCAAUAUCUCUGAGCCUCAAUUUCCUCACCUAUAAAAUUAGCCUUAUUAUGUCUACCUCAGAUGCCAUUAUGAAGGCUAAAUGAGAUCUUGCUGGUCAACUCCCAAAACAAGCGUUUAAUACAUUUCAUUCCCUCCUGCUAACCAACCCCUCCGCCCAGGGAGCAAUAACUUAUUUUCAUCUACCAAAUUUGAAAGGAAAGUGUUUUACCUCACAGUCCCAAAUUAAAGGAACAGGAAGUGCUUUAAUCAGAAACCACAUAUGCUAGCUUUAAUGAGCGGCUUCACCAAAACCAGAGGGGGCCACGAUGCUCUCUGGGCCUGUGAAAGAUUACAUAACUCUGAAACCGCCCGUCAGCAGAGAGCUGAAUUCCCCUCUUAGACAUAUUCAUGUGUCCUCCUCUCACAGAAAGAGUGGAAAUUCAAGUUAGUGAAAAGCAAACUAAGCCACCAAAAUAUCUUAGUUCACAAGAAAUCGCAGUACAAUGCCUAUGCGUAAAAUUCACAGUAACUCUGAGGCAACUUCAAAAAUUGAUUUAAGAGAUCCAAGAGUCUUAGAAAAAAAAAAAAAAAAAAAAAAAAAAUCCCCCUACCGAUUUUGCCUCCAUCAGCCAAGGCCGAAGUAACAUCUACCUCCCACUUGGGUAUCCGGGCCUUUCUCACCGCCAGGUUGCCUCUGGCACCCUCGGGCAGUGCAUCAAACGUGAAAUUCAGCCUCCAGGUCUUCCUGUUAACCUGGGGGGGGGGGGAUGGAGAAGCCACCAGAUCAGUCAGGUAUAAGCCAAAGGGAAAUGGUUUGCUCAGGAGCCAUUCAUUGUAGGUCAGUCAGAAAAUCUUCCCCCUCAUUAGUGCUCUCCAGGGCUCCCUAACUUCAGAGUUUCUUUUGUUUUCUGAGAGCAGGACUUCCUUCAGGCCAAAGUAGAAUGAGAAAGGUUUGCCUCCUUUCCUCAAGAAGGAAAAGUCUGCGUCUGGGCAACUAAAUUAUGCUGACCCUGGUCGUCACCUCCAUGGGGGGGGGGGGGGGGGGGUGGAGAAGGGCCACUGAUUUCUUAUGCUCCUCAUCCCAGACUGACACUCCUGUGGUCCCAGGGCUCUUCCCCUGUACCCUGCCCCACUGUGACUCGAGCGUAAGCCAACUGGAGAUCGCACGUUGUAUUCUGACUCCAAAUAAAAAGACUUCAGGAUGAUGUUCAUGUGUAGAUGCUCUGUUUGGUUGAUGGAUGCACUCCUCAGAGAUUCCUGAGGGCAGCGGAUAAACCUUGUGGGUGUUUGGGGCGUGGGGGUGACUGGGUGACGGGCACUGAGGGGGGCACUUGACGGGAUGAGCACUGGGUGUUAUGCUCUAUGUUGGCAAAUUGAACUCCAAGAAAAAUAAAUAAAUUUCAAAGAAAACCUUGCAAAUGCUCCUCUCCUUUUACCGUCCAAACCACCUACUGUCCAAGGAAAACAUAUCUCACCUACCCAGACAAUGUAUUUCUUUAGAUGGCAGAUUUCUAGUGGGGAAAUCCACAGGCACCAAGGGCUUAAAGCGUACGUGCGUAGGGAAUGUCCUCCUCUCUGGGACACCCCCACCCCUUGACAGCCGGCCUCCAAAUCCCUGCGGAGCGGGGGUCGAAUCCACCCUACCUACAAGUCACGAAGCUCCUCCAAAUACUUUAUGCAGACUGCCAUGAACCUGGGGGUCCGGCCAAGCCAUCCCAUUUUAGGGCUUCCCGCGUUCGAGAAAUCGUCUCGCAGCACUUGUCUUUACCUUCACUGGGGCGCCGUAGGGCUCGGAGAGGGCGCUGCGGGAGUGGGGAAGGCACCCGUGCCUCGGCUCCCCCCGCACGC
rnacentral:lncRNA from 1 species